UAAUAGUGUAUAUUAAAGUUGUUGCAGUUAAAAAGCUCGUAGUUGAAUGUUGGUGUCGAACGAGCGGUCAGCUUCGGCUGUACUGCUCUCUCGACUCCUUCCUUCUGUGGACUACGUCGCACUUUACUGUGUGGCGCUAGGACGCAGAUCGUUUACUGUGAAAAAAUUAGAGUGUUCAAAGCAGGCCGUACGCUUGAAUACAUUAGCAUGGAAUAAUGGAAUAGGACGUCGGGCCUAUUUUGUUGGUUCUAGGACCGUCGUAAUGAUUAAUAGGGACAGUUGGUGCCGUUUAUAUUCCGUAGUCAGAGGUGAAAUUCUUGGAUUUACGGAAGAUAAACUACUGCGAAAGCAUUCGGCAAGGAUGUUUUCGUUAA
rnacentral:rRNA from 1 species